rnacentral:rRNA from 1 species
CACGCAGGUGGCUGAGAAAGUCGAUUGUGAAAGCCCUGGGCUUAACCUGGGAAUUGCGGUCGAAACUACUCGGCUAGAGUAUGGGAGAGGGUAGUGGAAUUCCCGGUGUAGCGGUGAAAUGCGUAGAUAUCGGGAGGAACAUCAGUGGCGAAGGCGGCUACCUGGCCCAAUACUGACACUCAGGUGCGACAGCGUGGGGAGCAAACA